UACGUAGGGGCAAGCGUUGUCCGGAAUCAUUGGGCGUAAAGCGCGUGUAGGCGGUUCGGUAAGUCUGCUGUGAAAGUCCAGGGCUCAACCCUGGGAUGCCGGUGGAUACUGUCGGACUAGAGUUCGGGUAGGGGAGACUUGGAAUUCCUGGGUGUAGCGGUGAAAUGCGGCAGAGUAUCAGGAGGAACACCGGUGGCGAAGGCGGCAUCCUGGACCAAUAUUGACGCUGAGGAGCGGAAGCCAGGGAGCAAACGGG
rnacentral:rRNA from 1 species